rnacentral:rRNA from 1 species
AGCGGAGGAAAAGAAACCAACAGGGAUUGCCCCAGUAACGGCGAGUGAAGCGGCAACAGCUCAAAUUUGAAAUCUGGUCCCCAGGGCCCGAGUUGUAAUUUGUAGAGGAUGCUUUUGGCGAGGCGCCUUCCGAGUUCCCUGGAACGGGACGCCACAGAGGGUGAGAGCCCCGUCUGGUCGGAUGCCAAGCCUAUGUAAAGCUCCUUCGACGAGUCGAGUAGUUUGGGAAUGCUGCUCAAAAUGGGAGGUAUAUGUCUUCUAAAGCUAAAUACCGGCCAGAGACCGAUAGCGCACAAGUAGAGUGAUCGAAAGAUGAAAAGCACUUUGAAAAGAGGGUUAAAAAGUACGUGAAAUUGUUGAAAGGGAAGCGCCUAUGACCAGACUUGGGCCCGGUGAAUCAUCCAGCGUUCUCGCUGGUGCACUUUGCCGGGCACAGGCCAGCAUCAGUUUGGCGCGGGGGACAAAGGCUUCGGGAAUGUGGCUCCCCUCGGGGAGUGUUAUAGCCCGUUGCGCAAUACCCUGCGCCGGACUGAGGUACGCGCUCCGCAAGGAUGCUGGCGUAAUGGUCAUCAGCGACCCGUCUUGA